rnacentral:rRNA from 1 species
GAUCAUGGCUCAGGAUGAACGCUGGCGGCGUGCUUAACACAUGCAAGUCGAACGAAGAUGCCGGAGUGCUUGCACUUUGGCAGACUGAGUGGCGGACGGGUGAGUAACGCGUGGGUAACCUGCCUUAUACAGGGGGAUAACAGUUGGAAACGACUGCUAAUACCGCAUAAGCGCACGGUAUCGCAUGAUACAGUGUGAAAAACUCCGGUGGUAUGAGAUGGACCCGCGUCUGAUUAGCCAGUUGGCGGGUAACGGCCCACCAAAGCGACGAUCAGUAGCCGACCUGAGAGGGUGACCGGCCACAUUGGGACUGAGACACGGCCCAAACUCCUACGGGAGGCAGCAGUGGGGAAUAUUGCACAAUGGGGGAAACCCUGAUGCAGCGACGCCGCGUGAGCGAAGAAGUAUUUCGGUAUGUAAAGCUCUAUCAGCAGGGAAGAAGAAUGACGGUACCUGACUAAGAAGCACCGGCUAAAUACGUG